AUGUCAUCAGGGAGCGUAGUUCCUGCUUUUUUUCACAUUCUUUAGCUUUCAGUCGAUCGGACUCCUUCACUUCGGCAAACCGGUGGCCAUCUGGAGCUUGCUGUCCUGUGUUGGGAGUACAGUUCUUGUGCCAACGGUUUACCUCAGAGAAACCAGAGGUCUGUGUCUGUCAUCAGUUUCCGGCGUGUGUUUGUGGCUCUGGUAACACUGAACAGGAA